rnacentral:rRNA from 1 species
AGUAACACGUGAGCAACCUGCCCCUGACUCUGGGAUAAGCCCGGGAAACUGGGUCUAAUACCGGAUACGACCACUGAUCGCAUGAUCGUGUGGUGGAAAGUUUUUCGGUUGGGGAUGGGCUCGCGGCCUAUCAGCUUGUUGGUGGGGUGAUGGCCUACCAAGGCGACGACGGGUAACCGGCCUGAGAGGGCGACCGGUCACACUGGGACUGAGACACGGCCCAGACUCCUACGGGAGGCAGCAGUGGGGAAUAUUGCGCAAUGGGCGAAAGCCUGACGCAGCGACGCCGCGUGAGGGAUGACGGCCUUCGGGUUGUAAACCUCUUUCAGCAGGGACGAAGCUAACGUGACGGUACCUGCAGAAGAAGCGCCGGCUAACUACGUGCCAGCAGCCGCGGUAAUACGUAGGGCGCAAGCGUUGUCCGGAAUUAUUGGGCGUAAAGAGCUCGUAGGCGG